rnacentral:rRNA from 1 species
GAUGAACGCUGGCGGCGUGCCUAAUACAUGCAAGUCGAGCGAACAGACGAGGAGCUUGCUCCUCUGACGUUAGCGGCGGACGGGUGAGUAACACGUGGAUAACCUACCUAUAAGACUGGGAUAACUUCGGGAAACCGGAGCUAAUACCGGAUAAUAUAUUGAACCGCAUGGUUCAAUAGUGAAAGACGGUUUUGCUGUCACUUAUAGAUGGAUCCGCGCCGCAUUAGCUAGUUGGUAAGGUAACGGCUUACCAAGGCAACGAUGCGUAGCCGACCUGAGAGGGUGAUCGGCCACACUGGAACUGAGACACGGUCCAGACUCCUACGGGAGGCAGCAGUAGGGAAUCUUCCCAAUGGGCGAAAGCUUGACGGAGCAACGCCGCGUGAGUGAUGAAGGUCUUCGGAUCGUAAAACUCUGUUAUUAGGGAAGAACAAAUGUGUAAGUAACUAUGCACGUCUUGACGGUACCUAAUCAGAAAGCCACGGCUAACUACGUG